GACGAACCGUGCGAACGUUAUUCGGAAUCACUGGGCUUAAAGCGCGUGUAGGCGGCCCGGCACGUCAGUCGCUGAAAUCCCCCGGCUCAACCGGGGAAGUGGCGUUGAUACGACCGGGCUGGAGGGGGUAGGGGGGACGGGAACUCACGGUGGAGCGGUGAAAUGCGUUGAGAUCGUGAGGAACGCCCGUGGCGAAAGCGCGUCCCUGGACCCACCUGACGCUGAGACGCGAAAGCCAGGGGAGCGAACGGG
rnacentral:rRNA from 1 species